GGGUUGUGAGGUUAAGCGAUUAAGCGUACACGGUGGAUGCCCUGGCAGUCAGAGGCGAUGAAGGGCGUGCUAAUCUGCGAUAAGCGCCGGUAAGGUGAUAUGAACCGUUAUAACCGGCGAUACCCGAAUGGGGAAACCCAGUGUGACUCGUCACACUAUCAUUAACUGAAUCCAUAGGUUAAUGAGGCGAACCGGGGGAACUGAAACAUCUAAGUACCCCGAGGAAAAGAAAUCAACCGAGAUUCCCCCAGUAGCGGCGAGCGAACGGGGAGGAGCCCAGAGCCUGAAUCAGCAUGUGUGUUAGUGGAAGCGUCUGGAAAGGCGCGCGAUACAGGGUGACAGCCCCGUACACAAAAGCGCAUGUGCUGUGAGCUCGAUGAGUAGGGCGGGACACGUGGUAUCCUGUCUGAAUAUGGGGGGACCAUCCUCCAAGGCUAAAUACUCCUGACUGACCGAUAGUGAACCAGUACCGUGAGGGAAAGGCGAAAAGAACCCCGGCGAGGGGAGUGAAAAAGAACCUGAAACCGUGUACGUACAAGCAGUGGGAGCCCCACCACCAAAGCAUUCUCUGGUGUUGAAGGCCCUGCAAAGCAGCAUCGCGGUGGCGGAGCGUCGUUUGCGACGCCCAACACACAAAACAAGCGGUGAGUGCUUUGGGGUGGGGUGACUGCGUACCUUUUGUAUAAUGGGUCAGCGACUUAUAUUCUGUAGCAAGGUUAACCGAAUAGGGGAGCCGGAGGGAAACCGAGUCUUAAUUGGGCGUUAAGUUGCAGGGUAUAGACCCGAAACCCGGUGAUCUAGCCAUGGGCAGGUUGAAGGUUGGGUAACACUAACUGGAGGACCGAACCGACUAAUGUUGAAAAAUUAGCGGAUGACCUGUGGCUGGGGGUGAAAGGCCAAUCAAACCGGGAGAUAGCUGGUUCUCCCCGAAAGCUAUUUAGGUAGCGCCUCGUGAAUUCAUCUCCGGGGGUAGAGCACUGUUUCGGCUAGGGGGCCAUCCCGGCUUACCAACCCGAUGCAAACUGCGAAUACCGGAGAAUGUUAUCACGGGAGACACACGGCGGGUGCUAACGUCCGUCGUGAAGAGGGAAACAACCCAGACCGCCAGCUAAGGUCCCAAAGUCAUGGUUAAGUGGGAAACGAUGUGGGAAGGCCCAGACAGCCAGGAUGUUGGCUUAGAAGCAGCCAUCAUUUAAAGAAAGCGUAAUAGCUCACUGGUCGAGUCGGCCUGCGCGGAAGAUGUAACGGGGCUAAACCAU
rnacentral:rRNA from 1 species